rnacentral:rRNA from 1 species
AUUGAACGCUGGCGGCAUGCCUUACACAUGCAAGUCGAACGGUAACGCGGGGCAACCUGGCGACGAGUGGCGAACGGGUGAGUAAAGUAUCGGAACGUGCCCAAUAGUGGGGGAUAGCCCGGCGAAAGCCGGAUUAAUACCGCAUGAGACCUGAGGGUGAAAGCGGGGGACGUCGCAAGAGCCUCGCGCUGUUGGAGCGGCCGAUAUCAGAUUAGGUAGUUGGUGGGGUAAAGGCCUACCAAGCCGACGAUCUGUAGCUGGUCUGAGAGGACGACCAGCCACACUGGGACUGAGACACGGCCCAGACUCCUACGGGAGGCAGCAGUGGGGGAAUUUUUGGUACAAUAGGGCGGCAAGCCUGAUCCAGCCAUGCCGCGUGAGUGAAG